rnacentral:rRNA from 1 species
GACGAACGCUGGCGGCGUGCUUAACACAUGCAAGUCGAGCGGUAAGGCCCUUUCGGGGGUACGACGAGCGGCGAACGGGUGAGUAACACGUGGGUGACCUGCCUUUAGCUCUGGGAUAAGCCUGGGAAACCGGGUCUAAUACCGGAUAUGACUCCGCGGCGCAUGUUGUGGGGUGAAAGCCUUGUGCGGCUGGAGAUGGGCCCGCGGCCUAUCAGCUUGUUGGUGGGGUNAUGGCCUACCAAGGCGACGACGGGUAGCCGGCCUGAGAGGGCGACCGGCCACACUGGGACUGAGACACGGCCCAGACUCCUACGGGAGGCAGCAGUGGGGAAUCUUGCGCAAUGGGCGAAAGCCUGACGCAGCGACGCCGCGU